rnacentral:snRNA from 1 species
UUACAAAAAUAAUUUUCCAUUUUGAAAAUUGACGGAAGUAGUCGCACUACCGCCCUCUGGGAGGGCGAUUUUUAAAAAUCGCCCUCCCAGAGGGCGGCGAAAAUGACGUGGCAGACGGCCGUUCGCUCUCGGGCGACGGCCGU